AGAAGGUAUCUUUGGGUCUGGCUCUUGUCUAUGUUUCUUGGAACAGAACGUCACAGAGGGUGAGAAUCCCGUGCGAUGAGAUGUCCCAGACCUAUGUAAAGUUCCUUCGAAGAGUCGAGUUGUUUGGGAAUGCAGCUCUAAGUGGGUGGUAAAUUCCAUCUAAAGCUAAAUAUUGGCGAGAGACCGAUAGCGAACAAGUACAGUGAUGGAAAGAUGAAAAGAACUUUGAAAAGAGAGUGAAAAAGUACGUGAAAUUGUUGAAAGGGAAGGGCUUGAGAUCAGACUUGGUAUUUUGUAUGUUACUCUCUCGGGGGUGGCCUCUACAGUUUACCGGGCCAGCAUCAGUUUGGGCGGUAGGACAAUUGCAAAGAAAUGUGGCACUGCCUCGGUAGUGUGUUAUAGUCUUUGUCGAUACUGCCAGCCUAGACUGAGGACUGCGGCUUCGGCCUAGGAUGUUGGCAUAAUGAUCUUAAGUCGCCCGUCUU
rnacentral:rRNA from 1 species